AUUGAACGCUGGCGGCAGGCCUAACACAUGCAAGUCGAACGAGUGGCGGACGGGUGAGUCAUGUCUGGGAAACUGCCUGAUGGAGGGUGAUAACUACUGGAAACGGUAGCUAAUACCGCAUACCAUCAGAUGUGCCCAGAUGGGAUUAGCUUGUUGGUGGGGUAACGGCUCACCAAGGCGACGAUCCCUAGCUGGUCUGAGAGGAUGACCAGCCACACUGGAACAGAGACACGGUCCAGACUCCGACGGGAGGCAGCAGUGGGGAAUAUUGCACAAUGGGCGCAAGCCUGAUGCAGCCAUGCCGCGUGUGUGAAGAAGGCCUUCGGAUUGUAAAGUGCUUUCGGCGGGGAGGCGUUACCCACAGAGGAAACACCGGCUAACUACGUGCCAGCCGCCGCGGUAAUAC
rnacentral:rRNA from 1 species